UACAGAGGGUGCAAACGUUGUUCGGAAUUACUGGGCGUAAAGCGCGUGUAGGCGGUCUGACAAGUCAGGUGUGAAAGCCCUGGGCUCAACCCAGGAAGUGCACUUGAAACUGCCAGGCUAGAGUAUCGGAGAGGUUGGUGGAAUUCUCGGUGUAGAGGUGAAAUUCGUAGAUAUCGAGAGGAACACCGGUGGCGAAGGCGGCCAGCUGGACGAAUACUGACGCUGAGACUCGAAAGCGUGGGGAGCAAACAGG
rnacentral:rRNA from 1 species